rnacentral:snRNA from 1 species
AGCUUUGUGCAGUGACAGUAUCAUAGCCCAUGUGGCUUAUCCGAGGUGCAAUUAUUGCUAAUUAAAACUUACCUAUUGCACUCAGUAGACAUUUAUGGAGUAGCUACUAGGUG